UGGGUCUUUGUGGGCGAGAUGA
rnacentral:miRNA from 1 species